rnacentral:rRNA from 1 species
UACGGAGGGUGCGAGCGUUGUCCGGAAUCAUUGGGCGUAAAGGGCGCGUAGGUGGCGGCUUAAGCGUGCGGUGAAAGCUCGGGGCUCAACCCCGAGUCGGCCGUGCGAACUGAGUCGCUUGAGCACUGUAGAGGCAGGCGGAAUUCCGGGUGUAGCGGUGGAAUGCGUAGAGAUCCGGAAGAACACCGGUGGCGAAGGCGGCCUGCUGGGCAGUAGCUGACACUGAGGCGCGAAAGCCAGGGAGCAACGG